rnacentral:misc_RNA from 1 species
CACAAAUAAUAAUGUACUUAGAAUUCUUGAAAUUUUUAGUUUCUUUUUUUUUUCAGGUGAUCCUAAGUAUAAACCAUAUGUUACUAGUGAACCGGAAAUGUAUUCUGGAGAUCUAGAUGGAACUGAAGAUUUUCUCAUUAUUGCUUGUGAUGGUCUUUGGGAUUACGUUAAUGAAGUAACAGCUGCCAAGCUUGUGUAUGAACAAAUUUCUCGAGAUUGUCCUAACAUCGAGG